GCAAGACCUUGCGCUCUUGGAGCGGCCGAUGUCUGAUUAGCUAGUUGGUGAGGUAAUGGCUUACCAAGGCGACGAUCAGUAGCUGGUCUGAGAGGACGACCAGCCACACUGGGACUGAGACACGGCCCAGACUCCUACGGGAGGCAGCAGUGGGGAAUUUUGGACAAUGGGGGAAACCCUGAUCCAGCCAUGCCGCGUGAGUGAAGAAGGCCUUCGGGUUGUAAAGCUCUUUCAGCCGGAACGAAACGGUCACGGCUAAUACCCGUGACUACUGACGGUACCGGAAGAAGAAGCACCGGCUAACUACGUGCCAGCAGCCGCGGUAAUACGUAGGGUGCUAGCGUUAAUCGGAAUUAACUGGGCGUAAAGCGUGCGCAGGCGGUUUUGUAGGUUUNAGCAUGUGAAAAAANUCCCGGG
rnacentral:rRNA from 1 species